CUCUUUUACAUGGGGUGGCCGGUUUUUAUCACCGUGCCUGAGAUCAUACCCGUUGAACCUGAUCUGGGUAAUACCAGCGAAGGGAGAACACUGACACCGUACG
rnacentral:ncRNA from 1 species